rnacentral:tRNA from 4 species
GCCCAGGUGGUGGAAUUGGCAGACACGCACGGCUUAGGACCGUGUGCCGCAAGGCUUGGAGGUUCAACUCCUCUCCUGGGCA